CCGGAACCCGACUCUGGUGCUGAACAAAUUUGUGGCAGCCAUUUCUCUGUUCUCUUUGUAGAGGAUUUUGUGAUUCUGGUUGUUCUUCAUCUUGCGAUUUGCGACCCUCGUCAUCAGGUUCUUGAAGUUGACCAGUGAUGGGAAAUAGGCCAGCAAAGCCGGAGAGAGAUGAGGUGCUUUUGAAGAUUGUGCCUCCUCUAGAUCAAGCAUACGUUAGAUGGCUUGCUCGUGAUCUCGAGAGAAUUCAUGGCUUCACUCCAAGAAACCCUCGUGCUGUAAGGCCACCCGAUCAUUACAUAGAAUACAUGCGUUUACAGGGAUGGUUGGAUGUCAGCUUAGAUGACCCCGACCUUGCUCAUCUACUUAAAUAGUGAAGUAUAUCAACUGCAAUACUCUUAAGAACAUGUAUAAACUUCAAAUUGAUGUUUAGUUUUCUGUACUGGUACAUUGAGAUUCAGAUCCUGUGUAUGAUUUUAUGAAAUGGAAA
rnacentral:misc_RNA from 1 species